rnacentral:ncRNA from 2 species
GAUAAAGCGUUGAUAGGGAGGAGUAGUUGACUGUGAAGCCUCACAGAGAGUCGGUGGUUGCUGGAAACCGAUGGUUCACGUCGACGAACAUCACCCUUGAGUGCUAAGCUGAAACGUUUGUUUAGGCUUAGACGGUAGCUCCGUUAUUAGCUAGACUCAUAUCCCGAGUCACUGAGGCAAGAGUAAUCUUGCAAAGAAGGGUGGUACCGCGAAAUCUUUCGUCCCUUCA